GGCGGUUCUGCUGCGCUCCAUCAGCCGGGAAGGCUGCGGAACGGGGCCGGUCCGGAUGGGCUCGGAGAGCCGCGGGGCGGGCGCGGCCCUCUCCUGCCGCCCGGAGCGCAGAACCCUGUGUGUUCUCAGCAUCACUCCCACUCUUCUGGAGAAAGCAGCAAGACUUGACAGGACUAAGAAGAACCUGAAGGGCUGAAAGAACGAGCUGAAUUUGAUCAGCAAAGAAAGGGAAUGAACUCUUCCUAACACAUAAAGCUGUUACGAGAAUGCUCCCUGGACAUCAGCCCCCAUUGCAUCUGAGGUGUUGGAUGGUGUGUAGUGCCCGGUAACGGGAAGGAGCUUCAUAGGUCAUGGAGUGAGCAGCUCAGAACAUUCUAGGAGUGUCUUCAACUUCGGAGCAAAAGCUAAAAAUUCAGGUGCUCCAUCCAGCCUUAAAGAUGCUUUAAUGACCACAAAAGACAUGAAAUAGUAAGGGAAAGUGAGACAGAAUUGCCUGAAAUCUGUCGAUGGCAUGCUGACGGGAUUUUUGUAGUUGUCUUUGUUUGCUAUUGCCACUGGAAUGUUUGGGAAGAAAACUCUUUAACUCCAAUGUGGUGUUAGAAAGCAGGAAUUCCUUUAGUUCAUGAUAUGUACCUGGUGACUUGGCCAGCCAUGAGCACCCUCUCGGAGUCUGGUGCUACAUUUAUGCAGUUACUACAUACAUUGGCAGUACACUUCUUGGAAAUGGCAAAUGUAUUCAUCCUUAUUCCAAGGACUCAACGCAUGUUGAUGUCCUUUGACUGUGUGCAGUGUGGCCCUCUGGUGGUCUUAAGACCCUGUUCUUCAUCCCCUUGAUUCCAUCACCAGCCUCUUCACCAUGACCCUUGCCCAACUUCCAGCUGUUUUCCCCUAAUUUGCCAAAUUUCCAUUGUUCACUAUGCCAUAAUGAGCAACUUUUUCUCUUGGUACACUACAACUCAAAACAAUGUAUAUGAAAUCCAAGGGGAGUCCUCGCACCUGGUGGAUGCAAAGCUCCCAGUAUGUGCUACACAGAUAAGAAGUGGCCUGUUGUGACACCAGUGAAGCAAAGAAUUGCUCAUACAAAACAAGACUGCUAGGCCUUCACAUUCCUAAUGUGCUAAACUGAACUAACACACAUCGAUUCCUUUUGCUUAACUAAUAUACUGGUCCUUAAACUAACUUACAUUGAUCCCUAUUGCUAAACCUGCCUAUGUCACUAUGAUUAUUUUUCCUUGUUACUCACCCCCAAUGGCUGACAGAAGUGAGUUACUUAUUACGCUUAAAACUUCUUGGCUGCAAAUACUUACAUAAAUCCCAUAAUUAAUUUUUUG
rnacentral:lncRNA from 7 species